rnacentral:rRNA from 1 species
GCCUACGGGGGGCAGCAGUUAGGAAUCUUGGGCAAUGGGCGAAAGCCUGACCCAGCAACGCCGCGUGGGUGACGAAGGCCUUCGGGUCGUAAAGCCCUUUUGCACGGGAAGAUAAUGACGGUACCGUGCGAAUAAGCCCCGGCUAACUACGUGCCAGCAGCCGCGGUAAUACGUAGGGGGCGAGCGUUGUCCGGAUUUAUUGGGCGUAAAAGGCUUGUAGGUGGCCACGUCAAGUCGGAUGUGAAAUCUCCCGGCUCAACUGGGAGGGGUCAUUCGAUACUGGCGGGCUCGAGGCCGGUAGGGGGUAGCGGAAUUCCCGGUGUAGUGGUGGAAUGCGUAGAUAUCGGGAGGAACACCAGUGGCGAAGGCGGCUACCUGGACCGGUUCUGACACUGAGGAGCGAAAGCGUGGGGAGCGAUCCGGAUUAGAUACCCCGGUAGA